AAUCACCAUUUUCAGCUGCAGAUCUUGCUUCAGCCAUAGCUUCUGCUGAUUGAAGCCGGUUACGCUGCUUGUCAACUUCCAUUGACACAAUAAGUUGUCCGAUUGUGUCAGGCCUCUCAAUUUUGACAUCACCAAUAUGAUCCAAGGUUACUAAAUCCAAGUUGUUCGAUUGUGUCGGGUCUUUAUAUGUACACUUAACUUUUACAAGGGUCAUCAUAUCGUUGCUCGAACUAUCAGCAGGAAUAUCUAACAUAACCAAGAAAUCUCUUUCUUCAUCUGCAUAUAAGUCUCCAACUUCAAUAUUGCCACUUCUGUUAUCAGAUGCUAAACUGGCGUUAUAACUUCCAGCUUUUAUUGAAUUGAGACGCAAAACAGGGUGAACGCUUUCAACUUCCACACACAAUUCCUGGACCACCACGCUUAAAAGGCCACCUAUGCACUGAGCAAACGCAUCUUGAAUAACAUUCUCAGCUUCUAUGAAGGAAAAU
rnacentral:misc_RNA from 1 species